rnacentral:rRNA from 1 species
CAGCAGCCGCGGUAAUACAGAGGGUGCGAGCGUUAAUCGGAUUUACUGGGCGUAAAGCGUGCGUAGGCGGCUUCUUAAGUCGGAUGUGAAAUCCCUUAGCUUAACUUAGGAAUUGCAUUCGAUACUGGGAAGCUAGAGUAUGGGAGAGGAUGGUAGAAUUCCAGGUGUAGCGGUGAAAUGCGUAGAGAUCUGGAGGAAUACCGAUGGCGAAGGCAGCCAUCUGGCCUAAUACUGACGCUGAGGUACGAAAGCAUGGGGAGCAAACAGGAUUAGAUACCCCGGUAGUCCCUGUCUCUUAUAC